AGAGUUUGAUCCUGGCUCAGAGCGAACGCUGGCGGCAGGCCUAACACAUGCAAGUCGAGCGCCCCUCCUUCAGAGGACAGAGAUCGGAUGUCGGAUGACAGAACGCGUCUGAGCAUCCGGCGUCUGUCUUCUGAUGGAGGGGAGCGGCAGACGGGAGAGUAACACGUGGGAACGUACCCUUUGGUUCGGAACAACCCAGG
rnacentral:rRNA from 1 species